rnacentral:lncRNA from 1 species
CCCAUCCCCGGACCGCCGACGGGGUUACCGUGGGAAGACGGGGCGGUCGUAAAGGACACGGCGGCAGCGCUGCUGCUGGUUGCGUCGGACGCGGAGAAGAAGCUGGAGGACAAGGAUGAAGAUAAAACGGGACACACACACACACACACACACACACACACAGCGCACUCGAACGUUUUAAAGCCCUGAAGGACAGAUUUGCUUCAGUUCUCACUUUUAUUUAUUUAUUUUUUUGAGCAAUAUUAAAUAGGUGUACUUUGUGUGGGAUAGGACGAACAAGAAGCUGGGUGAUUAGUAAAGUGCACUUUUAAGUGUUCUCUGCGAUGAUAGCACCUUCAGAGACAACUGGAUUGCUCUCAGUAGAGCCAUUACAGUAUGACAGCAUUGUUACAUGGAAAUGAAAGGAGUUUGCUAAAGGGGAUUAGCCCACAGAUUGAGACAUGCUACUAUUAGUCAAGAACUGAUGGACACUGACACCCUAUUCAUCCCAGACCAGACAGACUAGCGAGCCUCAGUGGAUGUUCUCCCAUAAGCUCCUACAGUGUGGAAGGUCUUGUUAGAAUCCACCUUCUGCAGCACAGGUGGCUUGGACAGCCCUCUGUACGGAUCUGGUGAACAGUAGUGAAGUCUCUAAGGUUAAUUUAAUUGGAUUUCAGAAGGGCAACAAAGUAAAUACUUGUUAUUAAGCCAAAAUGUGUGCUUGAGCAUUUUUGCAGAUUAAAUGUAUAAGUCUCUGGUUGUCCUGGAACUCACUAGCCUCAAACUCACAGAUAUCCACCUGUCUCUGUCUCCCGAGUGCUGGGGUUAAAGGUGU